AAACGACUCUCGGCAACGGAUAUCUCGGCUCACGCAUCGAUGAAGAACGUAGCAAAAUGCGAUACUUGGUGUGAAUUGCAGAAUCCCGUGAACCAUCGAGUUUUUGAACGCAAGUUGCGCCCGAAGCCAUCCGGUUGAGGGCACGUCUGCCUGGGCGUCACGCAUCAC
rnacentral:rRNA from 2 species